rnacentral:rRNA from 1 species
UACGUAGGUGGCUAGCGUUGUCCGGAAUCAUUGGGCGUAAAGAGCGUGUAGGCGGUCCGGUAAGUCCGCUGUGAAAGUCGGGGGCUCAACCCUCGAAUGCCGGUGGAUACUGUCGGGCUAGAGUGCGGAAGAGGCGAGUGGAAUUCCUGGUGUAGCGGUGAAAUGCGCAGAUAUCAGGAGGAACACCUAUUGCGAAGGCAGCUCGCUGGGACGUUACUGACGCUGAGACUCGAAAGCGUGGGGAGCAAACAGG